GACGAACGCUGGCGGCGUGCUUAACACAUGCAAGUCGAACGGAAAGGCCCUGCUUUUGUGGGGUGCUCGAGUGGCGAACGGGUGAGUAACACGUGAGUAACCUGCCCUUGACUUUGGGAUAACUUCAGGAAACUGGGGCUAAUACCGGAUAGGAGCUCCUGCUGCAUGGUGGGGGUUGGAAAGUUUCGGCGGUUGGGGAUGGACUCGCGGCUUAUCAGCUUGUUGGUGGGGUAGUGGCUUACCAAGGCUUUGACGGGUAGCCGGCCUGAGAGGGUGACCGGCCACAUUGGGACUGAGAUACGGCCCAGACUCCUACGGGAGGCAGAAGGGGGGAAUAUUGCACAAUGGGCGGAAGCCUGAUGCAGCAACGCCGCGUGCGGGAUGACGGCCUUCGGGUUGUAAACCGCUUUCGCCUGUGACGAAGCGUGAGUGACGGUAAUGUGUAAAGAAGCACCGGCUAACUACGUG
rnacentral:rRNA from 1 species